rnacentral:rRNA from 1 species
UACGAAGGGGGCUAGCGUUGCUCGGAAUCACUGGGCGUAAAGGGUGCGUAGGCGGGGUUUUAAGUCAGAGGUGAAAUCCUGGAGCUCAACUCCAGAACUGCCUUUGAUACUGAGAAUCUUGAGUAUGGGAGAGGUGAGUGGAACUGCGAGUGUAGAGGUGAAAUUCGUAGAUAUUCGCAAGAACACCAGUGGCGAAGGCGGCUCACUGGCCCAUAACUGACGCUGAGGCACGAAAGCGUGGGGAGCAAACAGG